AAUGUGAAAAGGGGUGACAUACAUUGGAAUGAACCCAUAAUAUGAUUCAUUUGGCGUAGUUUUAAAAUAUAGGUGCUGUAAUUGUUUACUGAUAAUGCUGUCCUAGGUACUUCGGAAUGAAGUUUCUGUGGUGUUUGUUCCAAUCAGAUUAACCUGCAUGAGAACCCAAUAUGUUGCAUUUGCGUAGAAUGGGUCAUUGGGGAACGAUUUGACACGUCACUUAAUUCAACUAAUGCAUUUUCAUAAUAUAUUUUUCCGCGAAAGAAAUGUGCGAUAUUCACACCAGUAUACUAACUGUUCCCAUGCAGAUUUAUGUUGAUGAAAUAUUGCUUUGAGUAUAUUUAAUAUACUAUGCAUGUGUAUAAAUCACGGCGCCGCGUGAACACUGGAAAUGCGUCACGUCAUUAUUACUCCCGUAGUAUAAUACAACAAGCAAUUUUCGCGCGCCAUGACAUGUUCAGGCGCAUUGUAUACGUUAAACGUUUGGUAUGCUCUUUUCUGACCUAGAACAGCAUGUAUGCUAGGAAUACGUCUUUUUGAAUUGUUUUCCCACAAUUUUAUGGUAUUGUUAUGACCCAGAUGUUACAAUUUCGACUAUACCGUAUGGCACUUGCAUGUUUUGAUGUUACACUAAUUCAUCAUGAACGAUUCCAGUACUUGACGCGGUUCUUCGGCCCUGAAAACGAUACGGAGGAAGGAAAAUGUAAUUGGAUCGCCAAAAGAUGCUGCGACGCAAUCGACGAUAAAACUGACUAACUCGGGAAGUCAUCUUCGACUUAUAUAUCAACCAUGCCUGAAGUAAUGUUAAAGUGAACUUGUGAAGAAGCAUCAUGAUGGGGAUGCUUGUGAUGAUCCAAUAAUGAAGUUGGAGUAUUUUUCUCCAGAAUUCGUACAUAUUUUUAAAAUACGUGAAUAAAAUAACAAGUUGAAUCUCAGAUUUGAUGAUAGCGAAUCAUUCAUUACCUUCUCCAAGCAGCCGUAUCCAGGUUGGAAACGAAUGCGCUAGUAAUCACCCCAUGUCAUUGAAAGCACUUUAUUUUUGGGACUAUACCUCAAGUGUGCUGACUUUGUUAAAACAUUUACUGCCAAUUACCACAUAAUAUAUCGCGUUUCAUUGUAUAAAUUUUAUCUCAAUAAGAAGCACAUAUUGAACGUAUAACCUAAUGGAGAUCAGAGCGUUAUAUCAUUAUUUGGGAGGUCCUAAUACAAAUAAAUUGCAUUCAUUCAAA